GAUGAACGCUGGCGGCGUGCCUAAUACAUGCAAGUCGAGCGAACAGAUGAGGAGCUUGCUCCUCUGACGUUAGCGGCGGACGGGUGAGUAACACGUGGAUAACCUACCUAUAAGACUGGGAUAACUUCGGGAAACCGGAGCUAAUACCGGAUAAUAUAUUGAACCGCAUGGUUCAAUAGUGAAAGACGGUUUUGCUGUCACUUGUAGAUGGAUCCGCGGCGCAUUAGCUAGUUGGUAAGGUAAAGGCUUACCAAGGCAGCGAUGCGUAGCCGACCUGAGAGGGUGAACGGCCACACUGGAACUGAGACACGGUCCAGACUCCUACGGGAGGCAGCAGUAGGGAAUCUUCCGCAAUGGGCGAAAGCCUGACGGAGCAACGCCGCGUGAGUGAUGAAGGUCUUCGGAUCGUAAAACUCUGUUAUUAGGGAAGAACAAAUGUGUAAGUAACUAUGCACGUCUUGACGGUACCUAAUCAGAAAGCAACGGCUAACUACGUG
rnacentral:rRNA from 1 species